UACGUAGGGUGCAAGCGUUAUCCGGAAUUAUUGGGCGUAAAGAGCUCGUAGGCGGUUUGUCGCGUCUGCUGUGAAAACUGGAGGCUCAACCUCCAGCCUGCAGUGGGUACGGGCAAACUAGAGUGCGGUAGGGGAGAUUGGAAUUCCUGGUGUAGCGGUGGAAUGCGCAGAUAUCAGGAGGAACACCGGUGGCGAAGGCGGGUCUCUGGGCCGUAACUGACGCUGAGGAGCGAAAGCGUGGGGAGCGAACAGG
rnacentral:rRNA from 1 species